rnacentral:rRNA from 1 species
UACGUAGGGUGCGAGCGUUAAUCGGAAUUACUGGGCGUAAAGUGUGCGCAGGUGGCCGCGCAAGUCGAGUGUGAAAGCCCCGGGCUUAACUUGGGAAUUGCGCUCGAAACUACUUUGCUGGAGUGUGGCAGAGGAAGGUGGAAUUCCACGUGUAGCGGUGAAAUGCGUAGAGAUGUGGAGGAACACCAAUGGCGAAGGCAGGCCAUUCUGGGCCAACACUGACGCUCAUGCACGAAAGCGUGGGAGCAACAGG